UAUCUGGAAGAGUUUGAAAAUCUGAUCGAUGAGCUGCUGUUCAGAAUUAAUUCAUUUCUCCUCCAACUGCCUUCACCGCUCCUUCCCUGCCAACCCCUCCUCCCCCCCCCACAUUUACAAAGAGAAGGGGGGAUGAAGAGCCUCACUCUGAUUAUUCCUACAGCCAGGCAUCGGAGGAUCUGUCACUUGAUGAAGAUCACAGAAUACGGAAAGCUGCUAAGGUUGACAGGAACUGUUCAGAAAUCUCUCAGAAAUACCUGAUCUGUUUCAAGGAGGGCAAGAUUCUCUACUGAACAAAGACUACAGAACUAUGAAACUGCUGAGGUUUCUGAGGAAUACAGUUCAACCAGUAAUGGUUGCCCAUCAGACCAUAACCAUGAAGCAUCCCACUUCAGUGAGAGAGGAUUUCAAGUGGAGCUUUUCUGUAGAGCAACUCAAGCAAAAGUGUCAGUGACCUCCAUGUCAGAUGACAUUACAGUGUCACAACAGUAUUCAUGGAACCAAGGAGACGUGAAUCCAGAUUGCUAUCACCUGACAAAAAUGGGAGACGCUUUGCCUCCUGCAUUAUCUGGGACUCGAUAUCCAAAAAAAGCAAUCUUCAUGGGUCUGGCGCAUGGAGAGUGGAAUGAGCAGCCAGCCACCUUAUGCACCAGCUAGUGCAUCUGCUAAAAGUUGCAAGCUGCUCAGACAUUCCUAAACCACAGUCAUUGAGCCUUUGGAGACCACUAAUGCAGUGCUGUGCACUAAAGCUGACCUCUAACUCUGUGCUUGAGAGCCUGAAAACUGCUAAGGGACCAGCAUCUCAGCAAGUCAAAAGUGUAAAUCAAGUGUCAAAUUCUACACGUUGAGAAAAGGUCAAGAGAAAGCGAAGGGAAGGUAAGUGUGUUGGAGGAGAAACCAGUGAAAAUGGAGGGAAAAGAAAAGAAAAGAAAAAAAUGGCCCAGAAAUUUCCAUGCUGCCCAAUGGAGAAAGUGUGCCACAUCAGUCAAAGUCAUUGAGAACAAUGGGAGUAGCUGGGUGCUCUGAUAUUUUGUUGUUGACCCCUAUCAUAUAGUCAUGAUAAAUAAAAAUAAAUAAAUGUUCAUAGCUGGUGAAUGGUGCUGAAUUUA